AACUGAGGGAAUUCAGAGAAUUAUAAUCCAGACCUCCAGUCUAGGGCUGUAACAGAAAAAAAGAAUAUUACAGUUUAUAGUUUCAUAUAUGCUUUAUUCAGUAUUCAAUUCUGUCCUCAGAAAAACCAUGGAUGAUAUUGUUACUCUAAUUAACGACAUUUGGUAGAAAAAAUGAAGAAGCUAAGAACUUCGGCAAAUGGAUGGAACUAUAAAAAAAAAAAUCCUGAGUGAGGUAACCCAGACCCAGAAAGAUGAACAUGGUUUCAGUGCUGAGCCAAAAAGUGAUACCCAAGAGUUUGACAGAAGCCCCGCCCUGGCUCAUGUGCCCACUCAUUCCUGGGGAGCUGUGCAGACCCUGUGAAACUGUCAGUCAGUGCGGCUUUAUGAUAAAUGUCUGUGAUUAUGCUGAUAACAGAGUCUUCCACCUAAACUAGACAAGAGAAGGCAUUUUCUUUUCAGUGGGGAGAGAAUAAAUUGCUUUCUACGAAGCCU